UACGUAGGGUGCGAGCGUUGUCCGGAAUUACUGGGCGUAAAGAGCUCGUAGGCGGUUUGUCGCGUCGUCCGUGAAAACUUGGGGCUCAACCCCAAGCUUGCGGGCGAUGCGGGCAGACUUGAGUACUGCAGGGGAGACUGGAAUUCCUGGUGUAGCGGUGAAAUGCGCAGAUAUCAGGAGGAACACCGGUGGCGAAGGCGGGUCUCUGGGCAGUAACUGCGCUGAGGAGCGAAAGCGUGGGUAGCAAACAGG
rnacentral:rRNA from 1 species